rnacentral:rRNA from 1 species
GACGAACGCUGGCGGCAUGCCUAACACAUGCAAGUCGAGCGAGUAGAUCCCUUCGGGGUGAAGCUAGCGGCGGACGGGUGAGUACACGUGGGCAACCUGCCUCAUAGAGGGGGAUAGCCUUCCGAAAGGAAGAUUAAUACCGCAUAAGAUUGUAGCAUCGCAUGAAGCAGCAAUUAAAGGAGUAAUCCGCUAUGAGAUGGGCCCGCGGCGCAUUAGCUAGUUGGUGAGGGAACGGCUCACCAAGGCGACGAUGCGUAGCCGACCUGAGAGGGUGAUCGGCCACAUUGGGACUGAGACACGGCCCAGACUCCUACGGGAGGCAGCAGUGGGGAAUAUUGCACAAUGGGGGAAACCCUGAUGCAGCAAUGCCGCGUGAGUGAUGACGGCCUUCGGGUUGUAAAGCUCUGUCUUCGGGGACGAUAAUGACGGUACCCGAGGAGGAAGCCAUGGCUAACUACGUGCCAGCCGCCGCUGUAA